CGGAGGUGGCAAGCGUUACUCGGAAUUAUUGGGUGUAAAGGGCAAGUAGGCGGUCUAAUAAGUGGGGGGUGAAAUACUCCGGCUCAAUCGGAGAACAGCCUUCCAAACUGCUAGACUUGAGUAUGACAGAGGAAAAUGGAAUUCUAGGUGUAAGGGUGAAAUCUGUAGAUAUCUAGAAGAACACCAGCUGCGAAGGCGAUUUUCUGGGUCAUUACUGACGCUAAAUUGCGAAAGCUAGGGGAGCAAACAGAAUUAGAUACUCUGGUAGUCCUAGCCGUAAACGAUGAGCACUAGGUGUCGGGUCCUUUAGGAUUCGGUGCCGCAGCUAACGCAUUAAGUGCUCCACCUGGGGACUACGGUCGCAAGGCUA
rnacentral:rRNA from 1 species